rnacentral:rRNA from 1 species
ACCCGCUGAACUUAAGCAUAUCAAUAAGCGGAGGAAAAGAAACCAACAGGGAUUGCCCUAGUAACGGCGAGUGAAGCGGCAACAGCUCAAAUUUGAAAUCUGGCGUCUUUGGCGUCCGAGUUGUAAUUUGCAGAGGGCGCUUUGGCAUUGGCAGCGGUCCAAGUUCCUUGGAACAGGACGUCACAGAGGGUGAGAAUCCCGUACGUGGUCGCUAGCCUUUACCGUGUAAAGCCCCUUCGACGAGUCGAGUUGUUUGUGAAUGCAGCUCUAAAUGGGAGGUAAAUUUCUUCUAAAGCUAAAUACUGGCCAGAGACCGAUAGCGCACAAGUAGAGUGAUCGAAAGAUGAAAAGCACUUUGGAAAGAGAGUUAAAAAGCUCGUGAAAUUGUUGAAAGGGAAGCGCUUGCAGCCAGACUUGCCUGUAGUUGCUCAUCCGGGUUUUUACCCGGUGCACUCUUCUAUAGGCAGGCCAGCAUCAGUUUGGGCGGUUGGAUAAAGGUCUCUGUCAUGUACCUCUCUUCGGGGAGAACUUAUAGGGGAGACGACAUGCAACCAGCCCGGACUGAGGUCCGCGCAUCUGCUAGGAUGCUGGCGUAAUGGCUGU